rnacentral:rRNA from 1 species
AGAGUUUGAUCCUGGCUCAGAUUGAACGCUGGCGGCAUGGUUAAAACAUGCAAGUUGAACGAUCCCUUCGGGGAGAGUGGCGAAAGGGCGAGGAAUACGAUCGUACGUACCCCGAGGUGGGGGAUAGCGUGGGGAAACUCACGGUAAUACCCCAUGUCCUCUACGGAGAAAAGGUUUACCGCCUUGGGAGCGGCGAUCGUCCUAUCAGGUAGUUGGCGGGGUAACGGCCCACCAAGCCGAAGACGGGUAGCGGGUGUGAGAGCACGACCCGCCGCAUCGGGACUGAGACACUGCCCGGACUCCUACGGGAGGCUGCAGUAACGAAUCUUCCGCAAUGGACGAAAGUCUGACGGAGCAAUGCCGCGUGUGGGAUGAAGCAUCUUCGAUGUGUAAACCACUGUCAGGGUUUAGGAACAAUGACCAGACCCAAAGGAAGGGCCGGCUAAUUCUGUGCCAGCCGCCGCGGUAAUUC